rnacentral:rRNA from 1 species
AACGAACGCUGGCGGCAGGCUUAACACAUGCAAGUCGAGCGCCCCGCAAGGGGAGCGGCAGACGGGUGAGUAACGCGUGGGAAUCUACCCAUCUCUACGGAAUAACGCAUGGAAACGGGUGCUAAUACCGUAUACGUCCUUCGGGAGAAAGAUUUAUCGGGGAUGGAUGAGCCCGCGUUGGAUUAGCUAGUUGGUGGGGGAAAGGCCUACCAAGGCGACGAUCCAUAGCUGGUCUGAGAGGAUGAUCAGCAACACUGGGACUGAGACACGGCCCAGGCUCCUCGGGGAGGCAGCCGUGGGGAAGAUUGGACAAUUGCCGCAAGCCUGAUCCGGCCAUGCCGCGGGGGUGAUGAAGGCCCUAGGGUUGUAAAGCUCUUUCACCGGUGGAGAUAAUGACGGUAACCGGAGAAGAAGCCCCGGCUAACUUCGUGCCAGCAGCCGCAGUAAUAC